ensembl:lncRNA
GCCAGGCGCUGGGAUCCCGACGCCGGUGUCUCGGGGGCCGGCGAGUCGGGGUGCGGCUGCCCAGGGGGGGCCUGGCUCCCGGCUCCGAGCUCGCCUGUAUCUUCCCGGGGCCGAUCUUGUUCUCAACGACUCUGGGUGUCGGCGACCCUUCUGGCCAGCCCACUCUUCUCGCCGUGAGGUUCAGGGUGUCGGAGGGCCAGACACUGGUUUCAGAACUCUUGUAUCCCCAACCAGCCUGUGGUUAUAAUUGAUGAACACAUCCAGCUCUGACAUGAAUACUGAU